UAAUACGGAGGGUGCGAGCGUUAAUCGGAAUUACUGGGCGUAAAGCGCAUGCAGGUGGUUUGUUAAGUCAGAUGUGAAAGCCCGGGGCUCAACCUCGGAAUAGCAUUUGAAACUGGCAGACUAGAGUACUGUAGAGGGGGGUAGAAUUUCAGGUGUAGCGGUGAAAUGCGUAGAGAUCUGAAGGAAUACCGGUGGCGAAGGCGGCCCCCUGGACAGAUACUGACACUCAGAUGCGAAAGCGUGGGGAGCAAACAGGAUUAGAUACCCUGGUAGUCCACGCCGUAAACGAUGUCUACUUGGAGGUUGUGGCCUUGAGCCGUGGCUUUCGGAGCUAACGCGUUAAGUAGACCGCCUGGGGAGUACGGUCGCAAGAUUA
rnacentral:rRNA from 1 species